rnacentral:rRNA from 1 species
UACGUAGGGGGCUAGCGUUGUCCGGAAUCAUUGGGCGUAAAGCGCGUGUAGGCGGCUUUGCAAGUCGGGUGUGAAAGCCCUCAGCUCAACUGAGGAAGUGCGCCCGAAACUGCAGAGCUUGAGUGCCGGAGAGGGUGGCGGAAUUCCCCAAGUAGAGGUGAAAUUCGUAGAUAUGGGGAGGAACACCGGUGGCGAAGGCGGCCACCUGGACGGCAACUGACGCUGAGACGCGAAGGCCAGGGGAGCAAACGGG